rnacentral:rRNA from 1 species
GUGGGGAAUUUUGGACAAUGGGCGCAAGCCUGAUCCAGCAAUGCCGCGUGUGUGAAGAAGGCCUUCGGGUUGUAAAGCACUUUUGGCAGGAAAGAAAUAGUGCGUGCUAAUACCAUGCGCGAAUGACGGUACCUGCAGAAUAAGCACCGGCUAACUACGUGCCAGCAGCCGCGGUAAGACGUAGGGUGCAAGCGUUAAUCGGAAUUACUGGGCGUAAAGCGUGCGCAGGCGGUUUUGUAAGACAGGUGUGAAAUCCCCGGGCUCAACCUGGGAACUGCCUCCAAAACUGCAUGACUAGAGUACGGUAGAGGGUAGUGGAAUUUCCUGUGUAGCGGUGAAAUGCGUAGAUAUAGGAAGGAACACCGAUGGCGAAGGCAAUCCCCUGGGCCUGCACUGACGCUCAUGCACGAAAGCGUGGGGAGCAAACAGGAUUAGAAACCCCAGUAGUCC